rnacentral:rRNA from 1 species
CUAGAAAAGCCCAGUAGUGAGUUGACAUGGUGCCCGUACCCCAAACCAACACAGGUGGACAGGUAGAGCAUACCAAGGCGAGUGGGAUAACUAUGGUUAAGGAACUCGGCAAAUUUCCUCCGUAACUUCGGGAUAAGGAGGACCCCAGUAGCGUGACGAGACUUGCUCUCCGAGCGUGAAGGGGUGGCACAAAAUUGAGGGAAGCGACUGUUUACCAAAAACACAGCAGCGUGCUAAGCCGUAAGGCGCUGUAUACGCUGUGACUCCUGCCCGGUGCUGGAAGGUUACGGGGAUGGGUUAGUCCUUUGGGACGAAGCUCUGAACCUAAGCCCCAGUGAACGGCGGCCGUAACUAUAACGGUCCUAAGGUAGCGAAAUUCCUUGUCGGGUAAGUUCCGACCUGCACGAAUGGAGUAACGACUUCCCUACUGUUUCAACCAUAGACCCAGCGAAAUUGAAGUACGAGUAAAGAUGCUCGUUAGCUGCAGAAGGACGGAAAGACCCCGUGGACCUUUACUAUAACUUGAUGUUGUGUUUUGUCAUAUGUUGUGUAGGAUAGGUGGGAGACAAGGAAGCAUGGACGCUAGUCUGUGUGGAGUCAUCGUUGAAAUACCACCCUGCAUAUGGUGAGGCUCUAACCUAGACCCGUUAUCCGGGUUGGGGACAGCGUCAGGCGGGUAGUUUAACUGGGGCGGUUGCCUCCUAAAGAGUAACGGAGGCGCCCAAAGGUUCCCUCAGCCUGUUGGCAAUCAGGCGUCGAGUGCAAUGGCAAAAGGGAGCUUGACUGCGAGACCUACAAGUCGAGCAGGAGCGAAAGCUGGGCAUAGUGAUCCGGCGGUUGCGUGUGGAAGCGCCGUCGCUCAACGGAUAAAAGGUACCCCGGGGAUAACAGGCUAAUCUUGCCCAAGCGUCCAUAGCGACGGCAAGGUUUGGCACCUCGAUGUCGGCUCAUCGCAUCCUGGGGCUGAAGCAGGUCCCAAGGGUUGGGCUGUUCGCCCAUUAAAGCGGUACACGAGCUGGGUUCAGAACGUCGUGAGACAGCUCGGUCCCUAUCCUCUGUAGCCGUAGGUGAAUUGAGGAAAGCUGUCCCUAGUACGAGAGGACCGGGACGGACGCAGCUCUCGUGUGCCAGUUGUCCUGCCAAGGGCAUGGCUGGUUAGCGACCUGCGGAAAGGAUAACCGCUGAAAGCAUCUAAGCGGGAAGCCUCUUCCAAGAUGAAUUCACCCACAGGGUUAACCUGGUAAGGCCCGUGGUAGACCACCACGUUGAUAGGCCGGAAGUGUAAGCGUGGCAACACGUUCAGCUGAC